GACGAACCGUCCGAACGUUAUUCGGAAUUACUGGGCUUAAAGGGUUUGUAGGCGGCCUUGUAAGUCAGGUGUGAAAGCCCUCGGCUCAACCGAGGAACAGCGCUUGAUACUGCAAGGCUUGAGGGAGACAGGGGUAAGCGGAACUGAUGGUGGAGCGGUGAAAUGCGUUGAUAUCAUCAGGAACACCGGUGGCGAAAGCGGCUUACUGGGUCUCUUCUGACGCUGAGGAACGAAAGCUAGGGUAGCGAACGGG
rnacentral:rRNA from 1 species